rnacentral:rRNA from 1 species
GAUGAACGCUGGCGGCGUGCCUAAUACAUGCAAGUCGAGCGAACAGAUGAUGAUCUUGCUCCUCUGACGUUAGCGGCGGACGGGUGAGUAACACGUGGAUAACCUACCUAUCAGACUGGGAUCACUUCGGGACACCGGCUCUUAUACCGUAUAAUAUAUUGAACCGCAUUGUUCAAUAGUGAAAGUCGGUUUUUCUGUCUCUUAUCGCUGGAUCCGCGCCGCAUUAGCUAGUUGGUAAGUUAACGGCUUACCAAGGCAACGAUGCGUAGCCGACCUGAGAGGGGGAUCGGCCACACGAGAACUGAGACACGGUCCAGACUCCUACGGGAGGGAGCAGAAGGGAAUCGGACGCAAAGGGCGAAAGCCUGACGGAGCAACGCCGCGUGAGUGAUGAAGGUCUUCGGAUCGUAAAACUCUGUUAUUAGGGAAGAACAAAUGUGGAAGGAAAUAUGCACGUCUUGACGGUAACUAAUCAGAAAGCCACGGCUAACUACGUG